GGGGGCGACAGGCUUCGACAGGGGCCGUAACGUCCGUCGCGAUGCAUGCCGGGCCUUCUCUGUGAGGACCGUUAUCAAAUUGCAGGGAAACACAAAUGCAAACUCUAACGAGUUCGCUCUCGCGGCCUAAUUAAGCUGGCGAGCGUCUCUGCCGCAAGUUGCUCAUGCGCGCGGAUGGAGAUGUCACUUUAGAUGAGCUGGCCCAUCGCUUCGGUCCGUGGCGAUGGGUGAGAUCAAAGCCGGACUAGCCCGUGCCAACGUCUUGCUGCUUCACUUAGUUGGAAUUGGGCGAAAGUUGUUCAAUCGAAAGAUUGAGCGAAAAGAGAAGCAGCUAAGCAUGUAGAGUCCUUCGGCGUUGGCCUUUGGAUCCGGGUUCAAUUCCCGGCGCCUCCACCA
rnacentral:tmRNA from 1 species